rnacentral:lncRNA from 1 species
AUGUUACUUCCUAUUUAUAUAGUUGAAAGUUAUUUUUUCCCGGGAUGUUUUAAAGAAAUUAAUGCGCAUAGUGUAUAUGAAGAAAACUCAGCCGAAAAAAAAGAAUUUGAUGUAAAUGGUGGUGAACAUAUAGGCGAACAAGGAACUGACGCCGAACCAACUGAAAACACGAAAGAUAUAAAAUUUAAACUUUAUUAUACAUUACCUGUACAUACAAAUUUAAAAUAUAUAGUAAAUUUUAGUUUAACUAAUAGUAGUAACAUUACAAAAACUGAUAGCGUUGAUAGUACAAACAAAAGUCUUAUCGGUAGCUGCAGUCACAUUAGUAGUGGCAGUCUCAUUAGUAGUGGCAGUCUCAUUAGUAGUGGCAGUCACAUUAGUAGUGGUAGUCACAUCUUCAGCAGUAAAGACAACAUCAACAAUCGCAAUAAUCAAAAAAAAACUAGCGAAAAAAAGGACAUUGUGAUAAAAACACAGUGCUCUAUGUUAAGCACGAUUAAAAAUAGAAAACAAAUAAAUUAUGACUUCUUUAAUUAUACUAUUCAAAAUCAAAACAUGGAUAAUGAUAAUAACAAUGUUGCUAGUUUAACGUUAAACGAAAAAAUAAAAAACGAUUUUAUAGAUUUUGUUUUAAAUUUUGAUUGCAUUAAUUUUUUUCGUAUCACAAAAUAUUUUAUAAAAUUAAGUAAACUGAUUUGUGAAAUUAAAAAAAAUAUUUUAAUUUUGUUACAAAAAAAAAACUUAAAAUGUUUAAAACAUAAUGAUACUAUAAAUAUUAAAGAACAAGUUGAAAUUCAUUCUUAUGAUGACCCCAAAAAAUUGGAAGAAAAAAAAAAAGAUGCAUUAAAAACAGUUUUAAUGGUUCCUUCGUUAGAUAAUUUAUCUCUUGGGGGAAAUGAGUUUAACACAUUUGAAAGUGAGGAGACGACCAAACAGGGUACUCCAGAUUGUGAACAUAAAUACAAUCAGGAUAAACCGAAUCAACAAAAUGGACAAGACCGCCACCAGUUAUAUUUAAAUAACCUUCUUAUCGAGAAACUAAAUUUACGCAUUUUUAAGGAAAAAUUAACAAAUGUAAAAGAAUUACAUUUAAAAAAUAACAACAUAAAUAAUUUAAACACAUUUUUCCAAGGUAUUAACAACUGUGAUUUAGUUAAUUUGGAGUAUAUAGAUGUGUCCUUUAAUUGCAUUUAUGAUAUAAGUCCUAUAUAUAAUAAAUUUAAAAAUUUACUUUAUUUUGAUAUAUCUUUUAAUUUUUUAUAUGAUUAUAAACAAAUAAUAGAAUUUAGUUUAAAUCAUAAAAAAUUAGAACAUUUAAAUAUUUUAUGUAAUUCUAUAUAUAUAACCUUUACACAUUUUUCAAACAUACAUUUGUUUUAUCCUCGUAUAAAAACAUUCAAUCAAAAAAAAGUCAUAAUUAAAAAUAGUGAAUUUAUUUUGCUCCCUCAUUUGUUACUUCCUGUGCAUAAUGAGAAAACCCAAAUGGAUAACAUUCAGUUGGUAGUA